rnacentral:snRNA from 1 species
GGAUAUGAGGGCUAUAUGGCUGCGACAUCUGUCACCCCAUUGAUCGCCAGGGUUGAUUCAGCUGAUCUGGCUGGCUAGGCGGGUGUCCCCUUCCUCCCUCACCACUCCAUGUGCGUCCCUCCCGAAGCUGCAGGCUCAGUUGAAGAGGACGGCCUUCCCUGAAUAGAGCCAAACCCGUCUUUGGCCGAGGGUGUAGGAGUAGCUGCGCUCCCCUGCUAGAACCUCCAGACAAGCUCUCAAGGUCCAUACUAGGUUUUCAGGCACAGUACAGCCACACCUGUCACUCAUGGAGAACCGUC